rnacentral:tRNA from 1 species
GCCCGGUUAGCUCAGUGGUUAGAGCGCUUGCUUGACAUGCAAGAGGUCGCUGGUUCAAGUCCAGCACCGGGCACUA